rnacentral:lncRNA from 1 species
UAAAUCAGCACCUUCGGCUUAGGUUUUUCAGUAUCAGAUAGAGAGUGUGGGCAAAUCUCUCCUCUCUCUCUCCUCCCUUCUCUUUCUCUCUCUCCUCCCAGCGCCUCCAUGGCUGCAGUUUUCAUUUCAUAUAUGUGAGUGAGAGUAAUAUAUCCACUAUCGGAGAAGCAGAAACGGAAGAAGAAGAAGAAGAAGAAGUGUUUGAGGGGGAUGUUGGCUGGCUCGAAGCAAUCACAGUUUGCUGUUAACAGUGAGAAUGUGAAGGCAUCGGACCAGGCUUCAUUCCUCUCAAAACAUUUACUCAUCAUAUACAAAUCCAUCUGCUUCUCCGUUUUCCUUUUCUGUGUAUCUAUAUAACACUCUCUCUUCUGUGUCUGUACGAUUAGGGUUCGUGGUGAAUUUUCAAUUCUGUGGACUCUCUGUCCAGUGGAUGAUGUAUCUAAUUAUGUACUCAUCAUUAGAUACAAACUGACCUAAAGAUGUCGUUUUUGCUUUGAAUUAAACCAUUUUUCUUGUGGAUUGAAACAUGAAAUUCAGUGUAUAAACAGUUCCAGGCAUCUAGGGUUAAGAAACCCUAUUACUCUAUUAUAUUUCCCGUUGACUGUUUUUUUCACCAAUUUUUUUCACUUUAAUGUUAACUAAUUAAACUGCUUCACACACACACACACACACUCUCUCUCUCUCUCUCUCUCAAAAAACGACGCCCAUUAAACACGGAAACACAGUCAAAUGCAGUAAGUUGAAGCGCAAAACAAGCUCUUUUUCAGACAACCUUGCUGCUGGCUUUUUUUAAAAAAAAUUAAAUUCAAUUAUAUAAUUAAUUUUUUUCGUUGCGAAGAUGCCCUUGUUCUUAAUGCUAAUCUAUUGGGAUGAAUUUCUCUAAACAAUCGUAAACUUCGACUAAAGAAAUUUGGUGAUUUUUCCACAAUCUCAUGAGAAAAUGUAAUGAAUUCGAAGAUUUGGAGUUACGAAAAUGUAGGAAGUCGGUGAAGUAAUUAAGGCACCGCCCUCUUGUGCCAGCAACGUUUAAAAUUUCAAUUUUAUGAACAUGUCACAUUAAUUUUUUACAUGAUGCAUCUUCUCUAAACAAUCUUAAAAUUUGACCGGAGAAAUUCGGUGAUUUUUCCACAAUAUCACAUGAAAAUUAUAAUGAAUUCAAGGAUUUGGAGUUACGAGGAUAUAGGUGGGCAAUGAAGUAAUUAAGGCACUGCCCUCUUGUGCCAGCAUCGUUUGGAAUUUCAAUUUUAUGAACAUGUCACAUUUUUUAUAUGAUAGCAGUUGAGUAAUUCAUUUGAAUCAAAGGGCUCACUAUCACCUAACCAUAUAUAGCAUUAUUCUUGUGAGUAAGGAAUUUUGAAAUUUUAAUUUUAAUUUUAAUUUUUUUUUUUUAUAAACCCAUCUUUCUUCUUUUUUAAUAAUUAUCAAUUCAAUUACAUUUGUUUUCUAUUGCAUCUUUGAUAUGCGGUAUUAGAACGACACGAAAGACAACAUAAUAAAUAAGAUUUUAAUUUCUUUUUUUUGAUUGUUGCAGGGCAAAAAUGUCAUUUGGAUGAUGGAGCAUUGAUGAUUGGCGAUGAAAUUGUGACUUGCUUUAAUGGUUGUGAUAUUAAUGAAUAGCAUUUAUGUCUUUUUACUACCUUCAAAUGCGAACAUUUUUAUAUAUUUAUGAUUUGUUGGGUUUGAGGUAUGGAAACGUAACCGAUGAAUGUAAUUGUAAUGGCAGAUAUGACAGCAUUUAAUUUACACACUGAGAUCUGAUGAAAUGUUGAG